CAGGGCUCGGUGGGGCUGGAGUCCAUAAAACCUGAAGUGACUCCUCCCGAGCGCCCUUGGGCUCUCCUGUCUCUUGGAAGUGGACAGCAGGGCCACAGGUGUGCGCCACCACAGCCACCCGAGCCAGAUUCCCCUCUGCUGAGAAGCCCGGGCUGUGGGCGGCCUCCUCAGCCUGCGUCUGCUGGGCCGGGCCCAGACGUGGACCAGCCCCCUCGCUGGAGGAGGGAUGCAGCUCUGCCCUACGAGGUCAGCAACCAGAAGCCAGGGCCUCACUCUGAAGUUCAGGUGGCCUGGAACUCACUAUAUAACCCAGACUGGUCUUGAUCUCCCAGAGAGCCUCCUGCCUCAGCCUCCUGAGUGCUAGGAUUACAAGGUCUUUGCGGUGUAGGAGCCCCGGGCGUCUGGUGCGCCCGGGCCCUGCCGCACGCGGCUCUCGCGGGACUCGGGUGGCGAGCGUGCUUCUCCCUCACUGUCCUUGCUCGGCCGUGGACGUGGGCGCCCUGGGCAGCGCGGCUCCCGCUCGCCGCCCGCACAGCAGCAGCAGCAGCAGCAGCAGCAGGGAAGGAGCUGCAUACCCCGGAGGAGCCUGUCACCCUCACCCUCCCCGGCCUGGCCACCAGGGGUCGAUUUCUGUCCCCUCGUCGUGCCUGUCCCCGACUCCUCAGAGAAACGGACCCCCCAGCAGGUGGCCCUGCAUCCACCUGUGACACCAGCGAUGUCCACCAGGCCCACGUCCGCCUCCCUCGCUGGCCCGAGACACAGCCGCUGUGCACCAUGGGGCCGCGUGGAUGGGCUGUGUUCCGCGUCUACCCCCAGCCGGGAGCCAAGUGGGUUUUGUGCAGAGACAAUCUGGGGGCAAUUUGAUGAGCAUGUGCUGUAAGUAUUUGUAUACACAGUUUUUUCUUUGGAGAUAGAACCCAGGCCCUUUUAUUAAGCUACAUCCCCAGCCCUUUUUUAUUUUUUAUUUUCAGAUAAAUUCUUGCUAAUUUGCCCAGGCUGGGCUUGAACUUGCAACCCUCCUGCCUCAGCUUCCCGGAGUGCUGAGAUUACAGGAUCUCACUAAGUUGUCCAGGCUGACUUCAAACUUGCAAUCCUCCUGCCUCAGCCUCCCGAGCAGCCAUCCUCCGAGCUGGUUUUCGCAGGACCCUCGACCCCUAGUGUGGUCACUCUGUCCCUUCUCCUGUGGCCGCCUCUCAAGACUUCUCUGGGUGACGGCACCCGUAUCUCCCUCCCUCGGCCGCUGUCCCCACCAAGGUCCCGAGGCUGGCCACGUGCGUCCAACCCCCUUUCAUCUCUGCCCUCGCGCUUGUCAGGCACCCACGUGGCAUUGGCACUGUGGCCCUGGGCCCGGCCUUGGGCUCUCUGAGGUCAACACCACGCACAUCUGGACCUUGAGGACAAGUGGCCCGGGUAAGAUGGCCAGGGCAAGCUGGGGCCAAAGGAGGGGGUGGCAUCAGGCCCAGGCCGGCCAAGGCCUCAGCAAAGUGACUCCCCCUUUCCAAGGACCGCCAACAUCACUAGGACCACAGCAAUCCCUAGUGCAAGGAAUCAAUAAAUGUGUAUUAAUUCAGGAGUUGCUACCUGAUGCCUAAUGCAUGAAUUCGCUAACUGAUGACUUCAAGCAUUCACCGAGUACCCGCCUGGUUGUGAGAGAGGAGAGACCAGCGUCUCCCUCCAGGAACCUGC
ensembl:lncRNA